GCAGCAUAAGAAGAGAACUUCUAGCCUUGACCACGAGUUGUGUGACCUCAGAUUUUGUGGCCCUUCUUCCGCCAUUCACCGAAAUGGGCAAAGUGGCAACAGAUUUGAACGGCCUGAUGCACGCAUUGCUAGCUGUGGUUCAACAAGCAAAAUGAUAAAGAU